rnacentral:rRNA from 1 species
GACGAACGCUGGCGGCGUGCUUAACACAUGCAAGUCGAACGGAAAGGCCCUGCUUUUGUGGGGUGCUCGAGUGGCGAAAGGGUGAGUAACACGUGAGUAACCUGCCCUUGACUUUGGGAUAACUUCAGGAAACUGGGGCUAAUACCGGAUAGGAGCUCCUGCUGCAUGGUGGGGGUUGGAAAGUUUCGGCGGUUGGGGAUGGACUCGCGGCUUAUCAGCUUGUUGGUGGGGUAGUGGCUUACCAAGGCUUUGACGGGUAGCCGGCCUGAGAGGGUGACCGGCCACAAUGGGACUGAGAUACGGCCCAGACUCCUACGGGAGGCAGCAGUGGGGAAUAUUGCACAAUGGGCGGAAGCCUGAUGCAGCAACUCCGCGUGCGGGAUGACGGCCUUCGAGUUGUAAACCGCUUUCGCCUGUGACGAAGCGUGAGUGACGGUAAUGGGUAAAGAAGCACCGGCUAACUACGUG